AGUGAACGCUGGCGGCAGGCCUAACACAUGCAAGUCGAACGGCAGCACAGCAGUAGCAAUACUGUGGGUGGCGAGUGGCGGACGGGUGAGGAAUACAUCGGAAUCUGCCUAGUCGUGGGGGAUAACGUAGGGAAACUUACGCUAAUACCGCAUACGACCUACGGGUGAAAGCGGGGGAUCGCAAGACCUCGCGCGAUUAGAUGAGCCGAUGUCCGAUUAGCUAGUUGGCGGGGUAAUGGCCCACCAAGGGGCGACGAUCGGUAGCUGGUCUGAGAGGAUGAUCAGCCACACUGGAACUGAGACACGGUCCAGACUCCUACGGGAGGCAGCAGUGGGGAAUAUUGGACAAUGGGCGCAAGCCUGAUCCAGCCAUGCCGCGUGGGUGAAGAAGGCCUCGGUGUAAGCCUUGUCGUAAGAAAGACACUGGAUUAAUACUUACGGUGUUCUGACGGUACCGGAA
rnacentral:rRNA from 1 species